CGGGAUAGAGCAGUCUGGUAGCUCGUCGGGCUCAUAACCCGGAGGUCGUUGGUUCAAAUCCGGCUCCCGCAA
rnacentral:tRNA from 1 species